CUUGGAGCCAGCAGACUAUGGACCGAAACCUCUACAAACUGAGGCCCGCUUUGGAAGGGUGAUUGGAUUAUGGGUCACUACACCCAGCUGUGCGUUCAUCCACUGGAUUCUACCUUAACCACAUAUGAAGCUCUGGAUCACCUGUUGUUUGCUGAAUAAUAUUCAAACAUUUGGCUUGCAUAGUCAAUUGGAAUUUUGUGAUUGAAAGUUCUUUUUGGAAUUUAUUAAACUCGCCAAGAAGAAUGGAGUAAAUACCAUUUCCCAUUUGGCAGAUGGGAACUUGGAUAAUCAGAAUUAAAAAGUACCUCCUGGUGUUUACUUGUUGAGUG